AGCAGCCGCCACGGUAAUACGAAGGGUGCAAGCGUUAAUCGGAAUUACUGGGCGUAAAGCGUGCGUAGGCGGUUUGUUAAGUCUGCUGUGAAAUCCCCGGGCUCAACCUGGGAAUGGCAAUGGAUACUGGCAAGCUAGAGUGUGUCAGAGGAUGGUGGAAUUCCCGGUGUAGCGGUGAAAUGCGUAGAGAUCGGGAGGAACAUCAGUGGCGAAGGCGGCCAUCUGGGACAACACUGACGCUGAGGCACGAAAGCGUGGGGAGCAAACAGGAUUAGAUACCCCGGUAGUCCCUGUCUCUUAUAC
rnacentral:rRNA from 1 species